rnacentral:rRNA from 1 species
CCUACGCGGGGCUGCAGUGGGGAAUAUUGCGCAAUGGGCGAAAGCCUGACGCAGCGACGCCGCGUGAGGGAUGAAGGUCUUCGGAUCGUAAACCUCCGUCAGCAGGGAAGUACGGUCACUGUGCUAAUCAGCAGUGAAUUGACGGUACCUGCAAAGGAAGCACAGGCUAACUCCGUGCCAGCAGCCGCGGUAAUACGGAGGGUGCGAGCGUUAAUCGGAAUUACUGGGCGUAAAGCGCUCGUAGGCGGUAUGUAAAGUCAAGGGUGAAAGCCCCGCGCUUAACGUGGGAACUGCCUUUGAAACUGGCAAACUGGAGUGUGGGAGAGGAUAGUGGAAUUCCAGGUGUAGGAGGGAAAUGCGUAGAGAUCUGGAGGAACAUCAGUUGCGAAGGCGACUAUCUGGCACAUAACUGACGCUGAGGAGCGAAAGCGUGGGUAGCAAACAGGAUUAGAUACCCCAGUAGUC